GAUGAAGAACGCAUCGAAAUGCGAUAAGUAAUGUGAAUUGCAGAAUUCAGUGAAUCAUCGAAUCUUUGAACGCACAUUGCGCCCCCUGGUAUUCCGGGGGGCAUGCCUGUUCGAGCGUCAUUUCACCACUCAAGCCUCGCUUGGUAUUGGGCAUCGCGGUCCGCCGCGUGCCUCAAAUCGACCGGCUGGGUCUUCUGUCCCCUAAGCGUUGUGGAAACUAUUCGCUAAAGGGUGUUCGGGAGGCUACGCCGUAAAACAACCCCAUUUCUAAGGUUGACCUCGGAUCAGGUAGGGAUACCCGCUGAACUUAAGCAUAUCAAUAAGCGGAGGA
rnacentral:misc_RNA from 1 species